CCUACGGGCGGCAGCAGUGAGGAAUAUUGGUCAAUGGCCGGAAGGCUGAACCAGCCAUGCCGCGUGAAGGUCAGUGCCCUAUGGGCGUUAAACUUCUUUUGUGCGGGAGCAAUAAUGGUCACGUGUGGCCAGACGAGAGUACCGUACGAAUAAGCAUCGGCUAACUCCGUGCCAGCAGCCGCGGUAAUACGGGGGAUGCAAGCGUUAUCCGGAGUUACUGGGUUUAAAGGGUGCGUAGGAUGGGAGGUAAGGCAGCAGUGGAAUGCCCCGGCUCAACGGGGUGAAGUGCCAUUGAUACUGGCUUGCUGGAGUGCGGAUGCGGUAGGAGGAAUGUGUGGUGUAGCGGUGAAAUGCAUAGAUAUCACACAGAACACCGAUUGCGAAGGCAUCUCACGAGUCCGCGAUUGACGCUGAUGCACGAAAGCGUGGGUAUCAAACAGGAUUAGAGACCCGUGUAGUC
rnacentral:rRNA from 1 species